GUGCUCACUUGAGCAACACAUAUGCUAAAAUCGCACCGCUACAGCGAGGGUUAGCAUGGCCCCUGCACAAGGAUGACAUGCAAAUUUGCCAAGCGUUCCUAAAUAAA
rnacentral:snRNA from 1 species